rnacentral:rRNA from 1 species
AACGAACGCUGGCGGCAGGCUUAACACAUGCAAGUCGAGCGGAUCCUUCGGGAUUAGUGGCAGACGGGUGAGUAACGCGUAGGAACGUACCAUUUGCUACGGAAUAACUCAGGAAAACUUGAGCUAAUACCGGAUGUGCCCUACGGGGGAAAGAUUUAUCGGCAAAGGAUCGGACCGCGUUGGAUUAGCUAGUUGGUGGGGUAAUGGCCUACCAAGGCGACGAUCCAUAGCUGGUCUGAGAGGAUGAUCAGCCACACUGGGACUGAGACACGGCCCAGACUCCUACGGGAGGCAGCAGUGGGGAAUAUUGGACAAUGGGCGCAAGUCUGAUCCAGCCAUGCCGCGUGAGUGAUGAAGGUCUUAGGAUUGUAAAGCUCUGUCACCGGUGAAGAUAAUGACGGUAGCCGGAGAAGAAGCCCCGGCUAACUUCGUG